rnacentral:rRNA from 1 species
UCCGUAGGUGAACCUGCGGAGGGAUCAUUUA